UACAGAGGUCCCAAGCGUUGUUCGGAUUCACUGGGCGUAAAGGGUGCGUAGGUGGUGAGGUAAGUCGGAUGUGAAAUCUCCAAGCUCAACUUGGAAACUGCAUUGGAAACUACCUUGCUAGAGGAUUUGAGGGGGGAUUGGAAUACUUGGUGUAGCAGUGAAAUGCGCAGAUAUCAGGAAGAACACCCGUGGCGAAGGCGGCUCUCUGGGACGGUACUGACGCUGAGACGCGAAAGCGUGGGGAGCGAACAGG
rnacentral:rRNA from 1 species